UACAGGAGUCCCAAGCGUUUGUUCGGAUUCACUGGGCGUAAAGGGUGCGUAGGCGGUCGGGUAAGUCUGAGUGUGAAAUCUCACAGCUUAACUGUGAAACUGCAUUGGAUACUAUUCGGCUUGAGAGUUUGGAGGGGGGACUGGAAUUCUCGGUGUAGCAGUGAAAUGCGUAGAUAUCGAGAGGAACACCAGUGGGCGAAGGCGAGUCCCUGGGACAACUUCUGACGGCUGAGGCACGAAAGGCUAGGGGAGCAAACAGG
rnacentral:rRNA from 1 species